rnacentral:rRNA from 1 species
UACGUAGGGGGCGAGCGUUGUCCGGAUUUAUUGGGCGUAAAGAGCUCGUAGGCGGUUUGGUAAGUUGGAUGUGAAAUCUCCAGGCUCAACUUGGAGGGGUCAUUCGAUACUGCCAUGACUAGAGUUCGGUAGGGGAGUGUGGAAUUCCUGGUGGAGCGGUGAAAUGCGCAGAUAUCAGGAGGAACACCCGUAGCGAAGGCGGGUCUCUGGGCAGUUCCUGACACUGAGACACGAAGGCCAGGGGAGCAAACGGG